CGAUGUGAGGCGAUCUGGAUGCGACAUCUGUCACACCAUUGAUCACUAGGGUUGAUUUGGCUGAUCUGGCUGGCUAGGUGGGUGUUCCCUUCCUCCCACACCAUUCCAUGUGUGUCCCUCCGAAGCUGCGUGCUCAGUCGAAGAGGACAGCCUUCCCCGAAUAGAGACGGACCUGUCUUUGGUCGAGGGUAUACAAGUAGCUGCGCUCCCCUGGUAGAACCUCCAAACAACAAAUCAAUUAUAUAAUACUUUAAUAAGCUCUGAGACAGUGGAUAGAAAUUAGGGACUUUGCUUCUUGGGAGACAUAUUACAGCUUUAUGGGCAAUCUGCUCAAAGUGA
rnacentral:snRNA from 1 species